rnacentral:rRNA from 1 species
UACGGAGGGUGCAAGCGUUAUCCGGAUUCACUGGGUUUAAAGGGUGCGUAGGUGGGCAGGUAAGUCAGUGGUGAAAUCCCCGAGCUUAACUUGGGAACUGCCAUUGAUACUAUUUGUCUUGAAUACUGUGGAGGUUAGCGGAAUAUGUCAUGUAGCGGUGAAAUGCUUAGAUAUGACAUAGAACACCAAUUGCGAAGGCAGCUCGUUACACGAAUAUUGACUCUGAGGCUCGAAAGCGUGGGGAGCAAACAGG